CGGGCGGCGGCUCCGGGAGUGCUGGGCCGCGGAGGCGGCAGGCGGCUGGUCGCGCGGUUCCGCCAGCCAGCGGGAGCGGCGACGGCGCGGGGCAGCAUGAGGGAGACACUCGUGUGGGUUCUGCCAUGAUGACCGUUCCUGUCGCUGAACUUGGAUGAGGCCAGUACAUUAUGUACAGUGUAGAAGACCUCCUGAUUUCUCAUGGAUACAAGCUGUCAAGAGAUCUUCCGGCACCACAUGAGGGUCGCCAGCCAGCAAGGGCGAGAGAGAGAGUGGGUCAUGGCUUGCUGAACGGAUGUGAGGAUGCCCCUACUGCCUUCCCACACAGUAAGGCGUCCCUGGGGACAAGACAUGUGAGUAAUUCUGGAAAUGAGCACCAUGCACUGAGAGCCCGAGGAGAGCCCCAGAGCGCCUCUGCUUCCAGGAUGUCUGAGGAGGGGUUUUAUCAUCAGCCCAGGCUGGUGUGGUCCUCUCAGCACCAAAGUGGUCACAACCAUGCCUAUUGGAGAAGAGGACAGGAGGUCGGUGGCUUGCUGGCGCCGAGAGACCGAGAAGACCUGGAGGUCAGAGAAGUGGCCCAAGCCCACAGUCUGCCCAUCCACAUGAGAGAGGGUUCAUGGGAAGUUGGAGGAAGGACAGAGAAUGUGAUGAAGAAGGUGGUUUGGGAAGAAGAGCUGAGAAUGGGGGGCCCUGACAAGUGGCAGGAUGUAAGCCUGGAAAGCUGGAACCAGACAAGGAAAUUAGGAAGACAGAUGUCUGAUGGUGAUGGGGAGAAACUGUUUCAAGAUCUGUACCCAUUCAUGCGAGGAGAACAGGUGUUGAAUUCUCAAAGCAAAGGGAAAUCCCAGUCAUUGCCUAGAGUUCUCUCCCCUAAGAGCCUGAGUUGCAUGGAAAUUCCGUUAAGUGAUGGGUAUUUACCAGAUGUUUCUAGAAUGCCAUUUUACCCUCCAGAUUGUACACCGAAUUUGGAAUCCACAAGGAACCCUGAGAAGGGUGGCUCCUCUAUCCCCUUACCAUGGCCAAAAUUUGGGAAACCCCUCAAGCCUCCCUCCUAUGACUCCCACCAACACUCCAGGGCGGGAGUGGAAAACAGCGACCAUCUGGACAGCCAACAGGCAGACCUGAGUGUUUCCUACAGGCAGGAGGUCUGCCUGCCCGACUCUGGUUUGGAGCCUCCAGUGUACGUGCCUCCACCGUCGUAUAGGUCACCACCCCAGCACAUCACAAACCCCUAUGCGGAGGAUGUGGCCCCCAGGCAUGUGUAUGAUGGUCGCCGUCAUCCAAUUGAGGAGGCUGCUGCCAGCUUUCAGCUUCCUUCUGGUUCCCUUGGGACUGGAAAUGAGUUCCUGAAACAGCCCCAUCCCAUCACUGCUUACGAUGGCUCUGUUCAGUAUAUUCCCUUUGACGAUCCUCGGAUCCGACAUAUUAAACUGGCCCAACCCCAGGGUUUCUGUGACAAAACAAAGGUAGAUGAGAAAUUGUAUAGCUCUGGUCCAGUCUCUACCCCAGAGCCAGCUCAUGGAAGCAUGCAUCAUGAUGGUGCCGUUUUAAACCCACAGAGCAUCAUGCCCGCAUCAGAGAGAGAGAGAGGCUCUGUCCGUGCCGAUCCCAGUCCCCCGUGGCUGUGGGGCCAGCUCCCCAGGGAUGGAGAAAAUGGUGGCUUUCCUGACCAGAGAGACCACUGUGUUAUGAGAGGACAGUGGCCUGAUGUGAGAGGCAGCCAACAUGGACAAGCAGAAAGCCAAGUCUCCUCCCCAAACCCACAGGGCGAGAGUACCUGUGAAACCCAAACCAAGCUCAAAAAGUUUGAAACUGGGAUUAAGACCAAGAAAAGUUCAAAGAAAAAAAUGAACGAGACGAUAUUUUGUUUGGUUUCUAUCCCAGUGAAAUCAGAAUCACAUCUGCCAGAUAUAGAUAGGAACAACAAUGACUUAAAACAGAGUGCUGAUAAGAAGCAUGGGCUUGAUAAGAGCCCAGCUCUGCAAGAACAAAGUCUGCUGAGCAUGUCUUCCACCGACCUGGAGCUGCAAGCUCUCACAGGAAGCAUGGCUGGGAGAACAGAGUUUCAAAAACAAGAUCUGGGGGGACCAGAAGAAGACAAACAAACAGAUGACCUCAGAUUCAUUCACCCCAUGAAACACAGAGUACUCCAGUAUUCUGGCUCGUGGCCAGGGCACCAGUACAAAGAUCAGCAAACACAAACCACUUUCACGGAAGAAUCCAAAAGCCCGCAGCCCCUCCCUGCUAAGUCAGGAGGGUCACCUAAUGCAGUGCUGACUCCAAAUUUUCUGGACCCUCCUGCCUCCGAAGCUCAGAUGCACACAACAUUAGCUUCCAGUGACCAGAACCAGAAGCCAAAUGUUCAUCAUCUAAAAGGUCAAGUGUCCCUCAACCCUUCUAGCUACAGUGCUUUUUCAAGGACUUCCUUACUCAGAAACCAGGCACCUAUGCCAACAGUGGGCCAGAGUCAGCCCUGCAUGGAUGACCGUGGACGUGGACCCAGUCCUGUGCCCAGAGGCGAGGUGGUGAAGGGGGCAACCACCGGUCCAUGCAAUAGUCAACAGCUGUUUGGUCAAUUUCUUUUAAAGCCAGUUAGCCGUCGUCCAUGGGAUUUGAUAAGUCAGUUAGAAAGUUUUAAUAAGGAGCUUCAGGAAGAGGAAGAGAGCAGUCAGAGCAGCAGUAGCAAUGAGAGCAGUGAGACAGGAUGGCAGCCAGAAGGCCAUGCUGGCUGCACACUCAGGAAUCUGGGCUUCACUGGGGAGAGCCAGGAAAGAAGAGGGAAGGAACCGCCAAGGGGGGUGGUGCCGGAGGAGCCUGUGUUUAGGUCGGGAAGAGUUAAGAGUAAGUCUGAGAGUUGGAGUGAGGAGCAGAAGCCUGCCACCUGCCACCAGGGUGCUCGUCCUCAGUGCCUGGGCCCCUUGCAGGUGGAGGACAGCAGAGGUGAAGUGUUGCUGUCAACACGGGGAAGCUUGAUUACACAGAGGAGAAACCAAGAUGUUGGGACAAGAAUAAAAGAGCUAGCAGUCAGCCCAAGACCUGUGAAAAGAAUAACAUCUUCUAGGUCACGUGAUACUGUGUCCUCAUCUGCUUCAGCUGAACUGAGAGAGCCCCAGGAAGGGCAGGAGCUCCUCAGUGCUGUAAAGUCUGUGGAGCCCAGCAAAGCAGCCCCUCCCACACCUGGUGAUGGGGAGGAGAGGAGCAUGGUGGGCCCCCUCUCUCUUGCCAGCAAACCUUUCGGACUCUCGGUACCAGACUUGAGGUCCGUGGGGCUGACUCCAGCACAAGAGUGGAGUGCCAGUAAGUUAGAUGGGUCUUCAGGUGACAAGAGUGCAAUAGAAAUCCCCCCAAAUGAGUCCCUUCAAAUGAGGGCUGCGAGGAUACUGGGCAUCGAGGUGGCCGUGGAGUCCCUGUUGCCGGGCGCCAGGAGAACAGGACAUAACCAGCCCUCUGAGCCUGAUGGCAGUGCCCGAAGGUUGGUGUCCCCUAGGGAGGAACCAGUGUCCAGUCCAGCACAGCCGGAUGAGCCCACAGUUUCCAGUGAUGCCUUUUAUGGCAGGAGAAAGUGUGGCUGGACCAAAAGCCCUCUGUUCGUAGGGGAAAGGGACAGUGCCCCGCAGGCUCCAAGGACUUCUGAACUCUCUGGUGUGGACAGGGUCGUCCCCAGCAAGGCCACUGACCCAGAGUCUCAGCCCAGUGACUUGGAGUCCUUCAAUCACAAGGGCAUGGGGACAGAACCACCCUUCAGGUCCACUUUGUUCCAUUUUAUAGAAAGGGCUCCAAGUGUGGCAGGCUCAGAAAAGAGGCUCAGAAGUACUUCCAGAGUGAUUGAAAGUUUACAAGAGAAACUGGCUUCCCCCCCAAGGCGAGCCGACACUGACCGCUUGAUGAGGAUGAAAGAGGUGAGCUCCAUGUCUCGGAUGAGGCUCCUGAGCUCCCGGAGCACUGACUCCGUGGAGGAUGCUGAGGAACUAAAGGCUGAGAGGGGCCCAGGAGCUCAGCCAAGAGGCCUGGUGUCUCUGACCACUGGGGACCUGGCCCGGAAGGUGGGAAAUACAUUCUCUAUCUCCAAGAGCGCACUUUCACUGGAAGAAAAUGGGCAUCUGGAACCAGGAAGGGAGAAGAACUUGGAUCGGGACUUCUGGUGCCCAGAAAACCUUUGAGCUGCUGUGGCAGGAAUUUCUGACCAUAGGAGGCAGAUGUGUGAGCUUCAGGUUUGCCUGGACCCAGAGAUCUGUGACUCCCAGGUCGUCACAGUCAGCAUCACCGGCUGCAGCACUAAGGACAGAUUCGUAUGACCCUAGCAGAGUGGAGCGGGUGUGACGAGAUGCCAGUGAAGUGCAUCCACCGUAGUUGCAAAUUGAGUGUUCUGUAUCAGCUGGAAACUGCUGGCUGCUAGUGCUCUGUGGUAUCACUACCCCUGCUACCAGGAGACUCGUCAUGCCUUCAGAAUCGCUUUGUGGAAGUAAAGAAGUAGUCCAUUGAAACUCUCUGUUUUUACAAAUGAAGAAUUAAUACCUGUGUUUAGAAGAGUCACAUGGACUCUCCUGCAUGAUGGAUUUAGCCAAACUGGUAAAAUGUUUGGUGUUAAUCUGCUUCUGUGACAAUUUGAACAUGGACAAUAGAGUGAAUGAUUUUUGAAAUGACUGUGAAUGUCAUAAAGUCCCUUUCACAUCUCCAGGGCCUAUGGUCCAUGCUCAUGUAAAGGAAUUUGGGACAGCGUUUCUGCACUUUGAGUUUAGGGGAAAUGUGAAUGACUAUAUCUGAUCCAUUUCUAAUCAAUUUGGCCUUCUGCUGCUGGAAGUAACUUCACUUAUAAGUAACUUGCCAUCAGAGACUAAAAGCAAUAUCUUUUUAAGUUCCUAAAAGAUUAAAACUUACUAUAACGUACUAAGAAUAUUAUUUAUCUUGUAAUGAAACAUUUUGCUCGUUUGCAAACAUGCCAUGUCUGCUUUGCACUCAGUAUUAUCUAUUUUUAUUUUCUGUAUGGACGUUUAGAAAUUCUUUAUAUGAAAAAAAAUUGCUGGUUUAAAAUAGACCAUUUUAACAAAGUAACUAUAUUUCUUUUUACAAAAAUGCUAUUUUUCUAUGAUGUAAACAGUUGUUAGGUGGCAGAUUUUUAAGGGAGUUUUAUUUUAUUUAAGAAUCUGUAUCCCUUUGUGUGAGAGAGACCCAAAGAGGGUUCACAUCUGCUUUAAAGCACAUAUCCCUUACCCACUCACAACUUGGCUAUUUUUAUUUUAUCUUAGAAAGAGAUCUCAAUAUAGACAUUUUACAGGAUUAAAUAAACUUUUCACAAAAGUUUUUUUUUUUUACAAAUAUAACUAUAAGGUUAUAUGUGAAAAUAAUCCUCUCAAAACCAGCCAAUGUCCACAAUUUUUGCUGCCAUAUCCACUAGAAUUACCAAAAAGUGUAGUUUCAUUUUUGUAUGUCUAUGGGGGUCUGCCCUGAUACCAUGCUUUUCUCCCCCCACCCUUUAAAAAUAUGUAUUUUUAUCUAGAAUGAUCCUUACUUAAUCUCUGCAUAUUUUAAAAAUGUGCUAGAGACAUAUAUAUGCCAUUACAAAAGUAUUAUGAGGCCUAUGUAUUCUACUGUGUUUACUAUUGCAUUAUCCUGCACAAAGUUUAUGCAUUUUUAUGCAUUUGUCCCUUCUUUCUAAGUAAGGUAGGUAUUCUUGUUAGCUAACAUUUCCUGAAUGGAUUCUUGUCUCCUCCCUUCUUCCCUUUCUCCUUCCCUCCCUUUUCCUCCCUUCCUUCUUUUUCUUUUUCUUUUUAAAUAUCGAGAGAGAGAGAGAGAGAGAGAGAGAGAGAGAGAGAGAGAGAGAGA